rnacentral:rRNA from 1 species
CCUACGGGUGGCAGCAGUGGGGAAUAUUGCACAAUGGCGGAAACUCUGAUGCAGCGACGCCGCGUGAGUGAAGAUGUCCUUUGUUAUGUAAAGCUCUUUCAGCAGGGAAGAAAAUGACGGUACUUGAGUACGACUCCCCGGCUAACUCCGUUCCAGAUGCCGCGGUCCUAGGGAGGAGGCAAGCGUAAUCCGGAUGUACUGGGGUUAUGGGGAGCGUAGACGGCAGUGCAAGUCGGGGGGGAAUGGCGGGGGCUAAACGGGCGAAGUGCCAUGGAAACUGUACGGCUGGAGUGCAGACGAGGUAGGUGGAAUGUCUGGUGUAGCGGUGAAAGGCAUAGAUAUUAGAAAGAACACCAGUGGCGAAGGCAGCUUACUAAACUGUGACUGACGUUGAGGCACGAAAGCGUGGGGAGCAAACAGGAUUAGAUACCCCAGUAGUC